rnacentral:rRNA from 1 species
AUUGAACGCUGGCGGUAUGCUUAACACAUGCAAGUCGAACGGUAACAGCGAGAGCUUGCUCUCGGCUGACGAGUGGCGGACGGGUGAGUAACGCGUGGGAAUCUACCCAGUAGCGGGGGACAACUCGGGGAAACUCGAGCUAAUACCGCAUACGCCCUUCGGGGGAAAGGCUUCGGCCACUAUUGGAUGAGCCCGCGUUGGAUUAGUUUGUUGGUGGGGUAACGGCCUACCAAGACUGCGAUCCAUAGCUGGUCUGAGAGGACGAUCAGCCACACUGGGACUGAGACACGGCCCAG